rnacentral:lncRNA from 1 species
GUGGAAACAGGGUCUUCACGGAUGAGCAGGAGCAGAAGUUGCCAGUCUCUUGAGGGCAGCUGAUUUAUAUUAUGGAUUGUCUCCCCAUGAGAGUGCUGAAGCAACUAGUCUGUCGCGGGCUACAAGUUUCAACAGAACAAAUGUGGCAGAGUUUUUCAGCAAACUAGGACAGGUGAUGAUAAAUAAAUACAGCUUUGAUGGCAAUGACAUAUGGAAUGUUGACGAGAAUAACCACAGUACAAACACCUGAUAGAGUGGUCGUGAAACGUGGCACCAAACAGGUUGGAGCAAUCACCUCAGCAGAAAGGGGUACACUAGUGUCAAUGGCAUGUGCUAAUAAAUGCAAUAGGAAACUCAAUCCCCCCCAACUUUUGUUUUCCACCGCAAAAAAGAUACCACGACCACUUUGUACGGGAUGGGCCAAUUUUGGAAGUGGAAACGGAUCUAGCUGGAUGCAGGAGGAUGACUUCCUCAUUGUCCUUGAACACUUCGCCAAACAUGCCAAGGUCAGCCUGGAAAGGAAGGUGGUCCUUCUCCUUGUCAACCACACCUGUCUAUCAAGGUAAUUGUUUUCUGUAGGUGGUCUGGCAUAGUCUUGCUUUCUUUCCUCCCACACUGUUCACACAAGCUCCAGCCCCUGGACAGGAGUGUGUACGGGCCAUUGAAGAAAAUGGUGAACUCUGCCAGUGAUGCCUGGAUGAGGAUGAACCCCAGAAAGAUCAUGACCAUAUAUGACAUUCCAGGCCUUGUCAAAACAACACUUCCGGGUGCCACAACACCCACCAAUGUACAGGCUGGGUUCAGGUGCACCGGCAUUUGGCCAUACAACCCUAAUAUACUUCAGGAAUAUGUCUUUGCACCCUCCCUUGUCACUGAUUGUCCUGCUCCAGAUGACACACUGGCCUUGCCAGCUGCCUCCCAGGUCACCUCUUCAGCCACCACUCAUGCCACUGUGACCACUGAAGAGCAUAAAAAGUCAAGCACUCAGAAGGCAAAAAGACACAUUUCCCUGUCAAAAAAAAAACAGCUGGAAAGAUGCAAGCCAAGGCAAACCAUACUGAACAACAACAAAAAACUGUCCAGCCUAAGAAAAAAGCCUAAACAAAGCACAUUGAACCCGAACGUUCAUAUUCCUCCAACGAGGAAAACUUCUGCAUAGUGUGCAUGGAGCACUUUAACAAUUCCAAGUCCGAGGAGGUCUGGGUGCAAUGCUGAGAAUGCAAAUGAUGGACCCACCAAGCCUGUACCUCAGGACAGCCAUACUACUGUCACAACUAUGACUCUGAUUUAAGUGAACAUGUCCAACACUCAGUCGCACUCACGCACACACAGACAGACACACACACCACCACUGUUCAGGUGUUUAAUUUAGCCUAGUUGUUGUUUGGUUGAGAAAGACCAUUUAGU